rnacentral:rRNA from 1 species
CUGGUUCAGGAUGAACGCUGGCGGCGUGCCUAACACAUGCAAGUCGAACGAAGCAUAUCUAACGGAGAUUCGUCGAAGCUGGAUAUGACUUAGUGGCGGACGGGUGAGUAAUGUAUGAGCAACCUGCCUUUCAGAGGGGGACAACAGUUGGAAACGACUGCUAAUACCGCAUAAUGUAUUUGGGUGGCAUCACCUGGAUACCAAAGGAGCAAUCCGCUGAAAGAUGGGCUCAUAUCUGAUUAGCUUGUUGCGGGGUAACGGCCCACCAAGGCGACGAUCAGUAGCCGGACUGAGAGGUUGAACGGCCACAUUGGGACUGAGAUACGGCCCAGACUCCUACGGGAGGCAGCAGUGGGGAAUAUUGGGCAAUGGGCGAAAAAGCCUGACCCAGCAACGCCGCGUGAAGGAAGAAGGUCUUCGGAUUGUAAACUUCUUUUAUGAGGGACGAAGGACGUGACGGUACCUCAUGAAUAAGCCACGGCUAACUACGUGCCAGCCGCGGC